UACGAGGGGGGCAAGCGUUGUUCGGAAUUAUUGGGCGUAAAGGGCGCGUAGGCGGUGCGGUAAGUCACCUGUGAAACCUCUAGGCUCAACCUAGAGCCUGCAGGCGAAACUGCCGUGCUUGAGGGUGGGAGAGGUGAGUGGAGUUCCCGGUGUAGCGGUGAAAUGCGUAGAUAUCGGGAGGAACACCUGUGGCGAAAGCGGCUCACUGGACCACAACUGACGCUGAGGCGCGAAAGCUAGGGGAGCAAACAGG
rnacentral:rRNA from 1 species